AUGAACGCUGGCGGCGUGCCUAAUACAUGCCAGUCGAGCGAACGGACGAGAAGCUUGCUUCUCUGAUGUUAGCGGCGGACGGGUGAGUAACACGUGGAUAACCUACCUAUAAGACUGGGAUAACUUCGGGAAACCGUAGCUAAUACCGGAUAAUAUUUUGAACCGCAUGGUUCAAAAGUGAAAGACGGUCUUGCUGUCACUUAUAGAUGGAUCCGCGCUGCAUUAGCUAGUUGGUAAGGUAACGGCUUACCAAGGCAACGAUGCAUAGCCGACCUGAGAGGGUGAUCGGCCACACUGGAACUGAGGCACGGUCCAGACUCCUACGGGAGGCAGCAGUAGGGAAUCUUCCGCAAUGGGCGAAAGCCUGACGGAGCAACGCCGCGUGAGUGAUGAAGGUCUUCGGAUCGUAAAACUCUGUUAUUAGGGAAGAACAUAUGUGUAAGUAACUGUGCACAUCUUGACGGUACCUAAUCAGAAAGCCACGGCUAACUACGUG
rnacentral:rRNA from 1 species